GGUAAGAUCAUGUUAUAUCUUAUCUUUCUCCUAUAUAAGUGUGAGGAUCCGUGCAGGCGUGUGUUUAGUCCUACAUCGGUUAUUCACUGGAUAAAUUUUGGAUACUUAUACAGAAUCAAGAAAUCCAAAUAAUACCUUUCGGAUAGCCUUUUUGGGUGAGAUCCUGUAUUAUUACAAAUGGUAUCAGAGCGAACUCGGUUAAUAGUCUAUGUGGACUAGGAGACACUACAGCCGGGUUCAUUAAGGCUGACCACAGGGGCGAGUACAUCAACACUUGAAUGGGGGAGUCUGUAAUGACCCGUGCAGGCGUGUGUUUAUUCCUACAUCGGUUAUUUGCCGAGAAGAUCUUAGGUACUUAUAUAGAACAAAAAAAUCCAAAUAAUACCUUCUGGCUAGUUAUUUUGGGUGAGAUGCUGAAUUGUUAUAAUAAGUCAUGUUUGGUAACUCUCGUCAUGCUAAAUUUUCUAAGUUCCGCCUUCUCGUCAUGC
rnacentral:lncRNA from 1 species